AAGAGUGAACUAGCUAACUGAAAUCAAUCUACAUAUAAAUAUUGAUUGAUAACGUAAGGGAAAAUUAUGAUAUUACCUUACUAUUAGUGUCGUCCAAAUCUGGUGCCAGAAGACUCGGUAAGGCCAGAGACGCAAACGUUAAUCGUCUUAAACAGGCGUAAAGGGUUUGUAGGCUGCUUUGAAUAUUAUCUUUUAAUUUACCUUAUGGUAAAAUAGCGCAUUAGAUAAUUAAUCAAAGCUAGAAUCAAAUAGAGGUUAUAUUAUAUAAUGCUUAAAGUAGGUCUAAUAUCCUAACAGAUUAAGUGGAAUAUUAAAAGCGAAGGCUUAUUUACCAUAAAUGAUUGACGCUGAGAAACGAAGGUGAGGAUAGGAAAUAGGAUUAGAUACCCAAAAUACCCCUCUCUGUCAACGAUGAAUGGUGGUUGCUAAUUAUAAAAUUAGUAGCUAUGUUAACACGAUAACCAUUCCGCCUUGUGAGUACGACUGCAAAGUUGAAAACAAAAAAAUUAGUCGGUUUCGGAGCAAACGAAGUG
rnacentral:rRNA from 1 species